GGGACUAGCUCAAUGGUAGAGCGCAUGCCUAGCAUACAUGAGAUCCUGGAUUCAAUCCUCAGUACUUCCA
rnacentral:tRNA from 1 species